rnacentral:rRNA from 1 species
CUCCUACGGGAGGCAGCAGUGGGGAAUCUUGCACAAUGGGCGAAAGCCUGAUGCAGCAACGCCGCGUGCGGGAUGACGGCCUUCGGGUUGUAAACCGCUUUCGCCUGUGACGAAGCGUGAGUGACGGUAAUGGGUAAAGAAGCACCGGCUAACUACGUGCCAGCAGCCGCGGUGAUACGUAGGGUGCGAGCGUUGUCCGGAUUUAUUGGGCGUAAAGGGCUCGUAGGUGGUCGAUCGCGUCGGAAGUGUAAUCUUGGGGCUUAACCCUGAGCGUGCUUUCGAUACGGGUUGACUUGAGGAAGGUAGGGGAGAAUGGAAUUCCUGGUGGAGCGGUGGAAUGCGCAGAUAUCAGGAGGAACACCAGUGGCGAAGGCGGUUCUCUGGGCCUUUCCUGACGCUGAGGAGCGAAAGCGUGGGGAGCGAACAGGCUUAGAUACCCUGGUAGUCCACGCUGUAAACGGUGGGUACUAGGUGUGGGGUCCAUUCCACGGGUUCCGUGCCGUAGCUAACGCUUUAAGUACCCCGCCUGGGGAGUACGGCCGCAAGGCUAAAACGCAAAGGAAUUGACGG